rnacentral:rRNA from 1 species
UACGAAGGGGGCUAGCGUUGCUCGGAAUCACUGGGCGUAAAGCGCACGUAGGCGGACUUUUUAAGUCAGGGGUGAAAUCCUGGAGCUCAACUCCAGAACUGCCUUUGAUACUGGAAGUCUUGAGUUCGAGAGAGGUGAGUGGAACUGCGAGUGUAGAGGUGAAAUUCGUAGAUAUUCGCAAGAACACCAGUGGCGAAGGCGGCUCACUGGCUCGAUACUGACGCUGAGGUGCGAAAGCGUGGGGAGCAAACAGG